UGGGGAAUCUUGGGCAAUGGACGCAAGUCUGACGGAGCAACGCCGCGUGAGUGAAGAAGGAUUUAGGUUCGUAAAACUCUGUUGUUAGAGAAGAACAUGGCGUAGAGUAACUGUUAUGCGUGGGACGGUAUCGAACCAGAAAGCCACGGCUAACUACGUGCGAGCAGCCGCGGUAAUACGUAGGUGGCAAGCGUUGUCCGGAUUGAUUGGGCGUAAAGCGAGCGCAGGCGGUCAAUUAAGUCUGAUGUGAAAGCCCCCGGCUCAACCGCGGAGGUUCCUUGGAAACUGGGUGAAUUGAGUGCAGAAGAGGAGAGUGGAAUUCCAUGUGUAGCGGUGAAAUGCGUAGAUAUUUGGAAGAACACCAGUGGCGAAGGCGACUCUCUGGUCCGUAACUGACGCUGAGGUUCGAAAGCGUGGGUAGCAAACAGG
rnacentral:rRNA from 1 species